CUCAUAACGGCGAGGAACAGGGAAAAGCCCAGCACCGAAGCCUGUGGCCAUUUGGUUACUAGGCAAUGUGGUGUUUAGGUCGUUCCACAGAGGUUCUGCUCCACCCUAAGUCCAUCAAUGAGUACGGUAGUAUGGACAUGGCCCGCAGAGGGUGAAAGGCCCGUGGGGGUGGAGACAUAAUGGCCAGAGCCUCUCUGGGUAGACCUUGGAGUCGGGUUGUUUGUGAAUGCAGCCCAAAGUGGGUGGUAAACUCCAUCCAAGGCUAAAUACUUGCACGAGUCCGAUAGCGAACAAGUACCGUGAGGGAAAGUUGAAAAGUACUUUGAAGAGAGAGUAAACAGUGCGUGAAACCGCUCAGAGGUAAACGGGUGGAGUUGAACUGCAAGCUUUGAGAAUUCAGCUGGUGAGUAUGGUUUGAGCUGGGUUAAUUGGUGAACUCCGGAGUCUGCGUAUUAGCAGGUCUUCAUCUUCGGAUGGAGAUGCGCGGUGCACUCAUCAAGUGUUGUGCGCUCCGGUUUUUAUACCACCUGCUCGUCAGUGCACUUUCUCAAAGUAGUCACCUCGAUCGGCAUUGCUGUCCGGCGAACACGGUUAAACCUUUUUUGCAUUGUCUUGACCGGCUUUGUAAAAUCGGGAAGGCAGGUAGCUCGUUGGCUUGCUUGUAGCUCGCUACAGGCGUUCGGUCUUCGAGUGUAUGCUGACCGUACUAGCAUUGUGCAGUAUGUCGGAGACGGCGGCUUGUGGUGUGUGCAUGUGUAAUCAUUUGCUGACUUGUCCGGGUUUGGUUAUUUAGUUGCCUGUAAAAGCAGGCCUGGUGAUGGCCCGGGUGUGUUCGGUGGAUGUUUGCAUGUGUUUCACUAGUCCAAGGGCCAAUAGUCUGAGGUGUAGUGGUAGACUUUCCACCUGACCCGUCUUGAAAACG
rnacentral:rRNA from 1 species